rnacentral:rRNA from 1 species
UACAGAGGUCUCAAGCGUUGUUCGGAUUCAUUGGGCGUAAAGGGUGCGUAGGCGGCGCGGUAAGUCGGGUGUGAAAUCUUGGAGCUUAACUCCGAAACUGCAUUCGAUACUGCCGUGCUUGAGGACUGGAGAGGAGACUGGAAUUUACGGUGUAGCGGUGAAAUGCGUAGAUAUCGUAAGGAAGACCAGUGGCGAAAGGCGGGUCUCUGGACAGUUCCUGACGCUGAGGCAACGAAGGCCCAGGGGAGCAAAACGGGG